rnacentral:lncRNA from 1 species
UGGGAUUUGAGGAACUCUAACUCCCAUUUGGAACUAGAGAGAGGAUUACUUCACCUAGGUGAGUUUUUCUCCAUCUUAGCCUAUGUUGCUUAUCGAUUGAGUUUAGGGUUAAUCGUAAGGUUCGUUUAACCCUUGUUCCUACAUCUUUAGGGUGCUAGGAGGCUAGUGGGCAUCUUCGUCGGAGCUUGCGAAGAGUUGCAAGAGUUUUGGUGGGUUUGGCUUCGUGGAAAUGGGGCGAAAUGGCCCCUAUGCUCUUUCUACUUGUUGUAAAAUAUUUUUAAAUUCAUUUCUAUGCUAAAUGGAAUUUAUAUGAAUUUUAGAGCACUUAAAAUGCAUGCCUUGUGUAUUAUGAAAAUUUCACUAUAUAGUAGAGCUAUAUGAGUAGAAUGCAUGCAUACGGGAAAAGUGUUUAUUUUGCAAGUGGAAAAUACAUCUCUUAUGAGAAUUAUGACUUGGAAUAUAUACUUUGGAACAUAGUUGCCAUGCUUUGACAUAGAGAACAAGAGUGUCAUCAAGGGGCACUUGAAACUAGUAAACUAUGAAACUGCAACAUAGAGACAUAUUGAUAGGCCACUACAUAUCUGCUAUAUUCCAUGUUAGAGACAUGAUGACAUAGGGAUAGGCCAUUGAGAUACUUGACACAUUCCAUGUUAUUAGACAUGAGGACUUGGUACUUGCGACAGAUCGUUUGACUACUUGCCAUUGUGCUCAUUCGCACAUGCUUGUGAGGGUCGCUCCCUACAAGCCGGCACUCCGGAGAUAGCCAUCGCGAUUCAUAUUCGCCGUGCGGGAUUGGGCGCCGAAGUGGAUUGCCGUGGGACAGGCUCAUUCCUAGGGUGGGGAUGAUGACUACCACGGGGCCAUUAGGCUCGGCACCGGCCAGACAGCCUACGGGUGGGUCUCAGGGCCAUAGACAGCCUUCGGGUGGGUCUCUUCAGAUUUGACUUUGUGUAUCCAUUAUGACAUGUGGACAGAUGAGGAUUUAGUAUACUACUUGGACAUUGAUUAGAAUAGUAAACAACGGAACUUUACUAUUUCACAUUGUGAACAUCAUGAUAGUUGGAGACAUUUACUUCAUGCAUAGUUGCUUUCAUACUUAUGCUAUUUAUGCUAAGUAGAGAUAUCAUGUCGUAGUAGGUUACAUUUUUACUUACCUUUCGCUUUUCUACUUUUAUAGUCACUGACAUCUUUUCGUAGCUUUGGGCCUUGUGGUGCAUUCACUGAAGUCAGUAAUUGCCCACUGGGAACUAUUUUUAAUAGUUCUCACGCCCAUGUUUUAUGGUUUACCUUUCAGAGCCUUCGGCACCGGCGGAGGCACGGGAUCGUG